rnacentral:lncRNA from 1 species
CUAUUUGCGUCGGUAUCAACAGAAGGACUAGACGCUUGCACUAAAAGAAAAAGCUGAGGGAUGGGGGCAGGAAGCGGGAAGCUGGGACCCAAGCCCCACCUUCCUGAGUUGGAAGGUGACAGGUAGACUCCUGCUUGUUUGCCAGAGAGGCCUGGCAGAGGAGGUGCAUCCCAGCACAGAAGGGCAGCACAGAGGCAGCCUGAGAAGAUUCUGUCGCUGCCAGGUCACCAGGACCUCUGGACCACAGCUGGGUUGCGCUGUUUUCCAGUUUGUGAAACUAGGACUUUGGGGAACAUCCUGUGAAUUGGUGUCAUUUUGAUUUUCCUGGAGGAUUUUUGAGGUCAGCGUGACUGCUGUCACUAACUAAAAUAAAAUCCGAAGUCCCCAAGUGACUGAACAGACCCCCUCUUGGCCAAGGGGACCCCAGAGAAACCUGAAAGCUGAGCUCCCAGCCAUGAGGGGACGGGCGAUCGGACACGCUUCAUCACAGUCCCUCCCCUUUGUGGUUUAAACGACGAUGAUCGGCUGUCAUGCUAAAAUAGAGACACGAGACCGACAGCACAGACUCCUUAUGGCAAUAAGACACCAAAUUAUAAGCAGCACCUCAGGCCACGCCAGCAGCUAAACACGCACCGGCCCCGAGAUUCAAACGACUGCAGCUCAUCCACCUGCAGACGCUGGCUGACCCCGUUCCACAGCUGUGACUAUAGCUUUGAUUGGACAAGAGGUUGAUUUCAGUCUCCUGCUCCUCCUGGAACCUGAAUAUGUAUGUUUGGCCAGCUCAAUUCAGCAUGAGGCUCCUGCUGCA